AACAUUUAUUGGAAAUAAGGAAAAACACAAACUAUCCUAACAAAUUUAUUGUUGAAUUUUUCUUGAAAAUUUUUAUUUGGCAAUCCACGCACUGCUCAGCCACCAUCCACGUCGACCGAUCCAGCCUAAAAUGUUAAAAUUUGAAGAAAUGAGAAAUUUAAACUCAAUAGGAUACAUGCAUUCAAACAAUAUAAUAACUUUUUAAACAUAAAUUUGUAACAUUCCAUACCAUCAUUUCAUCAAGAGCAAUCGGAGAUCAAUUGAAUGCUCUAACACAUUUCUGUGCAAACAAUUGAAAAAACUCGAAGGAGAUCUCACAUUUCAUUUCAUUAAAAGCCACAGGUUAAUUAGCAUUUCAUAAAAUAAAUUACGUAAAAAAAUUAUAAUAUUGCAAGAACAUAUCAACUUGCACAUAAUAUCCUAACUUGAUUGAUAAUAGAAUUGUUGGAAGAAAAGUAAGAAAUUCAUGUUCCCAAAACCUUUUUGCUAUUGCCGUGUCUAUAUGCCAAGAAAAUUGUCAAAAAUAUAUUAUAUAAUAAAUCAUGAGUUAACUAAUGAUUGCCAAGCAAAAAUCAAAAUUUUGGAUACCUUGCGGAUUUAAAGUUAAUUCAUAAGCUGCUUCGAUGUGCACCUCAAUCCCAAAUUGCAAUAGUUGUGUGUGUGUGUGUGUGUGUGUAUACGGGUAUAAAUUUCACUUUAAAGAAAAAGUCUUUCAAUUUAUAAACAUUUUAAAUCCUAAAUUCUUCUUUGCAAUAAAUAUUUAGUAGACUUUUUCUUCCUAUCAAUCUUUCAAAAAUUUUAAUUUGUUGUUUUAAUUGCUAAAAAUAUCUAACUAGUUUUACUGAAAUUUCUUUUAUUAUUCUCUCUUAUAAUCUUUGCUCGUUGUUGUCUUUCUUUACAAUAUUUAGGAUCUUCUAUUAAGAAACUCCAACACUGAAAGAUAGAGAGCUCAAUGAUUUGCUUCUUGAUCAGUAAAGAGGGGUCACCUCUAUUUCUAUCUAGAAUGGAUAAAAUAUAGCUUCCUACAACGACUAAUUUUCCUAUCUCUCUAUUUUCUAAAUAAGUAUUAAUAUAUUGGUUAAAACUUUCCAAUGAACAAUUAAGUAAGGAGUGUAACUAAAGGCAUAAAAUAUUAGAAUUUUAAAACGAUAUGUUUGUAAUAGCCUUUGAGUACUUUACUGUUCGGCAAAUUAAUUUCUUUAGACUUUUUUUUAACUCUCUCUUAGCUUUUUUCUUGACCUUUUAAAGAAGAUUUAAGACUGUAGCCAAAAAGAUUUUUAUCAUGUUUAAAAAGGUUUUAACAAAUUUCCACAAUUGGGACACAAAUAGCUAACUUAACUCAGAUGAUUACUUUAUCUUUUGGCCAUGGAAUCCAGAGUAAAGAUGCUAAGAGUGUUAAAAAUAUAUUUUUGAAACUGAAAUAAAAUACUAUUUGUGAAUAAAUCAAUUGUUUACUUGGUGUUUACCCUUUUAGGCCUUGCCAGAAAAAUAACUAAAGUAAACAAAAAUUAUAAACAAGUGAAGAUAUAAAAAGAACUUACUUUAAUUACGAAGUCUUUGAAUUUACAAUGAUGUCUUUGAAUUUGC
rnacentral:lncRNA from 1 species